AUGCGAUAAGUAAUGUGAAUUGCAGAAUUCAGUGAAUCAUCGAAUCUUUGAACGCACAUUGCGCCCCUUGGUAUUCCGGGGGGCAUGCCUGUUCGAGCGUCAUUAUAACCCUCAAGCCUAGCUUGGUGUUGGAGCAUGCUAUCUAGCAGCUCUUAAAAUCAGUGGCAGUGCCCUUCGGCUCUAAGCGUAGUAACUUCUCUCGCUAUGGAAACCGGAUGGUACGCGCCAAAACCCCCAACUUUCUAUGGUUGACCUCGGAUCAGGUAGGGAUACCCGCUGAACUUAA
rnacentral:misc_RNA from 1 species